GACGAACGCUGGCGGCGUGCUUAACACAUGCAAGUCGAACGAAGUGGCGAACGGGUGAGUAACGCGUAAUUAACCUGCCCUUCAGAGGGGGACAACAGUUGGAAACGACUGCUAAUACCGCAUACUGAAGGAGGGGAUUGAGUCUGAUUAGCUAGUUGGAGGGGUAACGGCCCACCAAGGCGAUGAUCAGUAGCCGGUCCGGGAGGAGGAACGGCCACAAUGGGACUGGGACACGGCCCAGACUCCUACGGGAGGCAGCAGGUGGGAAUCUUCCGCAAUGGACGAAAGUCGGACGGGGCAACGCCGCGGGAGUGAUGACGGCCUUCGGGUUGUAAAGCUCUGUUGAUCGGGACGCGGUACCGAAAUAGAAAGCCACGGCUAACUACGUGCCAGCAGCCGCGGUAAUUC
rnacentral:rRNA from 1 species